rnacentral:lncRNA from 1 species
GAAUCUUCUUUAAUUACAAGUCUGUCAAAAAGAGAAAUCUUCAAGUGUCUCAAGCCUCAAAUCUGCGAAUGGCUUCAGCCCUGGGCAAGAAAUCACCCCUUUCCUGAGCAGCCCCAGUGCCCUUUCUCAGCUCUUGUCAUGUCAUCCCUGCAGCUGCACCAAUAAACUGGGCAUUUUUGGAGUUUAGUUUUCAGAUGAGCCCGCUUCAAAUCAAUGGAGCUGCUGCUUUUCGUGACUCCUGGGAAUAAGAUGGCGUGGAAACAACCCACGGCCAUGCCCAAAUAAGAAAACUAAAAGAAUUAUUGGUUUUGGUCAACCUGGAACAUGGCUCUUUUUGCCCUGACAUUUUCCUAGAGGAAAGUGAAACUCUUCAUCUACAGAUUCAAAAAGUCCCAAAGGCACUCUGUCAGACAUCUCCCAACGUGCUCUCUCAGUUAUUGCUGGAUGGAUCAGAAGUUCUCCAGGGAGCAGUGAAGAUGUUUUUGCGGGCUACAAAACCUCAAAGGCUGAAAAUACUCAAUUCCAGUGUCUGCUUCUUGCUUCCAGAGGAGAUAUCUGCUCUUUGUCUUCAUCUUCAUCGUCAUCAUCUUUGUCUUUGUCUUCAUCUUUGUCUUUGCUUUGUCUUUGUCCUCCUUCUCCUUCUUUCUCUCUCUCCUCUUCCUCUUCCUUUUCCUCCUUCCUCCAGCUCCUAAAUCCCCACCUUCCCUUGACCCCCCCUCCUUUCCUUCUCCCCAUCAUGCAUUGCAUGCUGAAUGCAGGAGGCUCUCAAAGGCAAGAGUCGGCCUGGGACACUCUUACCCACAAUAGCAGUGGUGAACAGAACCCAGGUUUUCAGCCAGGAAAUUUCACUGGUAAUCUCCUGCGAGGGAGGCGCUCCCAUUUUUCAUGAUGGUUGGCCCUUGCGGGAUAUGGAUGAAAAGAGAAAGCAUUUCAUUUGCUCUUUGAAAACUGGAGCUAUAGAUCAAGGCCCUGCUCAGUCCCCUGAAGACUAGAAAUGGGAUUUUUGCAAGAAUUGAGGCUAUCCUCUCUGAAAACUAAAACAGUUAUCUACACUUUCAUCGAGAGGUCAGCAGUAGAGAUUUUUCUCCAACAGCUGGAUAAAUCCAGGCUGUUAGUGCCUCUCCUUCCCACUGUUCUCUGUUAUUGCUUUUCAUUACGUGAAGGGUGAGGAACAAGCAAAUACCUCUGCUUUCUAGCUUUGCCCUUGCCCGUUUGUACAAAGCAGCCAAACAUUUCCUUCUGACACUCAGGACCCAAGCACCUU